rnacentral:rRNA from 1 species
AUCUAGGUGGGGGCUUUGUUGCGAAAUUGGUUGAUCAGUGCAGAAUCUGAUCCUUUUUGAUUAGACGGAAAGACCCCGAGAGCUUGCAGUAGGAUGUUUUAUCUGGGGAGGGGGCAAAUGUUUCAUUUGUUUUUAGACCCUUUUGGGUAAAAGGUUGAAGUUACCUCGGGGAUAACUAGGUAAGAAGCAAGGAGAGGCCUUAUUGAUUUGCUUGGUUGCCAUCUCGAUGUUGACUUAGGAUGUAGCGGAAGGGUGUAGCAGUUUUUCUGGUUGGUCUGUUCGACCUUAGAAUCCUUCAUGAGCUG